rnacentral:rRNA from 1 species
UACGAAGGGGGCUAGCGUUGCUCGGAAUCACUGGGCGUAAAGGGUGCGUAGGCGGGUUUUUAAGUCAGAGGGGAAAUCCUGGAGCUCAACUCCAGAACUGCCUUUGAUACUGAAAGUCUUGAGUAUGGGAGAGGUGAGUGGAACUGCGAGUGUAGAGGUGAAAUUCGUAGAUAUUCGCAAGAACACCAGUGGCGAAGGCGGCUCACUGGUCCGGUACUGACGCUGAGGUGCGAAAGCGUGGGGAGCAAACAGG